rnacentral:rRNA from 1 species
UACAGAGGGUGCUAGCGUUGUUCGGAAUUAUUGGGCGUAAAGCGCGCGCAGGUGGUUUCUUAAGUCUGAUGUGAAAGCCCACGGCUCAACCGUGGAGGGUCAUUGGAAACUGGGAGACUUGAGUGCAGAAGAGGAAAGUGGAAUUCCAUGUGUAGCGGUGAAAUGCGUAGAGAUAUGGAGGAACACCAGUGGCGAAGGCGACUUUCUGGUCUGUAACUGACACUGAGGCGCGAAAGCGUGGGGAGCAAACAGG